GACGAACGCUGGCGGCGUGCUUAACACAUGCAAGUCGAGCGGUAAGGCCCUUUCGGGGGUACACGAGCGGCGAACGGGUGAGUAACACGUGGGUGACCUGCCUUCAGCUCUGGGAUAAGCCUGGGAAACUGGGUCUAAUACCGGAUAUGACUCCAUGAUGCAUGUUGUGGGGUGGAAAGCUUUUGCGGCUGGAGAUGGGCCCGCGGCCUAUCAGCUUGUUGGUGGGGUGANGGCCUACCAAGGCGACGACGGGUAGCCGGCCUGAGAGGGCGACCGGCCACACUGGGACUGAGACACGGCCCAGACUCCUACGGGAGGCAGCAGUGGGGAAUCUUGCGCAAUGGGCGAAAGCCUGACGCAGCGACGCCGCGUGAGGGAUGACGGCCUGG
rnacentral:rRNA from 1 species